rnacentral:rRNA from 1 species
ACUCAAAGGAAUAGACGGGGGCCCGCACAAGCAGUGGAGUAUGUGGUUUAAUUCGAAGCAACGCGAAGAACCUUACCAGGGCUUGACAUCCCCUGACGUUACUGGAAACAGUAAUUUCCUACGGGACAGGGAGACAGGUGGUGCAUGGUUGUCGUCAGCUCGUGUCGUGAGAUGUUGGGUUAAGUCCCGCAACGAGCGCAACCCUUGUCGCUAGUUGCCAGCGAGUAAAGUUGGGCACUCUAGCGAGACUGCCGGUGACAAAUCGGAGGAAGGUGGGGAUGAUGUCAAAUCAUCAUGCCCCUUAUGUCCUGGGCUACACACGUACUACAAUGGCCGGAACAGCGGGGUGCGAAGCCGCGAGGCGGAGCGAAUCCCAAAAAACCGGUCCCAGUUCGGAUUGCAGGCUGCAACUCGCCUGCAUGAAGUUGGAAUUGCUAGUAAUGGCAGGUCAGCAUACUGCCGUGAAUACGUUCCCGGGCCUUGCACACACCGCCCGU